rnacentral:rRNA from 1 species
GAUGAACGCUAGCGGCAGGCUUAACACAUGCAAGUCGAGGGGCAGCAUAGACAUUGCUUGCAAUGUUUGAUGGCGACCGGCGCACGGGUGCGUAACGCGUAUGCAACCUACCCAUAACAGGGGGAUAACACUGAGAAAUUGGUACUAAUACCCCGUAAUAUUAUGAAAGGCAUCUUCUUUGGUUGAAAGUUCCGGCGGUUAUAGAUGGGCAUGCGUUGUAUUAGCUAGUUGGUGGGGUAAUGGCUCACCAAGGCGACGAUACAUAGGGGGACUGAGAGGUUAACCCCCCACACUGGUACUGAGACACGGACCUAGACUCCUACGGGAGGCAGCAGUGAGGAAUAUUGGUCAAUGGACGCAAGUCUGAACCAGCCAUGCCGCGUGCAGGAAGACGGCUCUAUGAGUUGU